AUGUAGGGUGAUGGAAAAAGAAUCCUUAGGUGUGGUUGUGGCCGUCUUGGUCACUUGUGUGCCACUUGCCAAUGCUAGGACAUGUCAUAGUUACAGUGACUGUUA